CAUACAAGAGAGCACCACAUUGGUUGUUGUCAAGACAUUGCACAACAGAACACAAGACACUUCAAGACAAUACACUGAAACUGCAUGAACCAGCAUCUUGAAGAGGAGGCGGGUUCAGUCAGGAGUCGACUGACUGUUGUGAAUGUUUGCAGGGAGGAGGUGACUCGGUGGGAGCCAUUGUCUUCACGGUGACAUACUUCAAGGUGAACGUGACCAGGAGACCUAACAUUGUGAUUGAGUGGUUACCACUCCUGCUUCAUAUUUGGAAGGUCCCAGGUAAAAGUCUCAGCCCAGACAAGACUAUUAUGAGGUUUUCAUGGUUUUUCUCAGGCAGAAGUUGGGACUAUACAUAAAAUUAGGCUAUUAUUGCUUUCUUCCUCAUCCUUUCGUUUUAAUAUUUAUUAAACACCCUGUUAUUCAAUGUUGUGUAACUUAAGCAUUUGAAAAUGUGUAAUUAAAUACACCAGGAAUUAGUCACUCA